UAGGGAAUUUUCGGCAAUGGGCGCAAGCCUGACCGAGCAACGCCGCGUGAGGGAAGAAGGUCUUCGGAUCGUAAACCUUUGUCUUUGGGGACGAUAAUGACGGUACCCAAGGAGGAAGCCACGGCUAACUACGUGCCAGCAGCCGCGGUAAUACGUAGGUGGCAAGCGUUGUCCGGAAUUACUGGGCGUAAAGGGCGUGUAGGCGGUAAAUUAAGUCAGACGUGAAAACUCAGGGCUUAACCUUGAGACUGCGUUUGAAACUGAUAGACUAGAGGAUCGGAGAGGGCAGUGGAAUUCCCAGUGUAGCGGUGAAAUGCGUAGAUAUUGGGAGGAACACCAGUGGCGAAGGCGACUGCCUGGACGACACCUGACGCUGAGGCGCGAAAGCCAGGGGAGCAAACGGGAUUAGAUACCCCGGUAGUCCUGGCCGUAAACGAUGGGUACUAGGUGUGGGAGGUAUCGACCCCUUCCGUGCCGGAGCAAACGCAAUAAGUACCCCGCCUGGGGAGUACGGCCGCAAGGUUGAAAC
rnacentral:rRNA from 1 species